rfam:TPA: Bos taurus chromosome X, whole genome shotgun sequence.
UCCCUAGUGGUCCAGUGGUUAGGACUCUAUGCUUCCAAAGCAGGGGGUUCAGGUUCAAUCCCUUGUCAGGGAA